UACAGAGGGUGCGAGCGUUAAUCGGAAUUACUGGGCGUAAAGGGCGCGUAGGCGGAUAUGCAAGUGAGAUGUGAAAUACCCGGGCUCAACCUGGGAACGGCAUCUUAAACUGCGUAUCUUGAGUACUGUAGAGGAUAGUGGAAUUUCCGGUGUAGCGGUGAAAUGCGUAGAGAUCGGAAGGAACAUCAGUGGCGAAGGCGACUGUCUGGACAGAUACUGACGCUGAGGCGCGAAAGCGUGGGGAGCAAACAGG
rnacentral:rRNA from 1 species